rnacentral:tRNA from 1 species
GGUUGUUUGGCCGAGCGGUCUAAGGCGCCUGAUUCAAGAUGGCUCAUCUUGUCACUGAUGACAGUGGAACACUCAGGUAUCGUAAGAUGCAAGAGUUCGAAUCUCUUAGCAACCA